AGCGAACGCUGGCGGCAGGCUUAACACAUGCAAGUCGAGCGGGCAUCCUCGUGGUGUCAGCGGCAGACGGGUGAGUAACGCGUGGGAACGUGCCCUUCGGUUCGGAAUAACUCAGGGAAACUUGAGCUAAUACCGGAUACGCCCUUUUGGGGAAAGGCUUGACUGCCGAAGGAUCGGCCCGCGUCUGAUUAGCUAGUUGGUGAGGUUACGGCUCACCAAGGCGACGAUCAGUAGCUGGUCUGAGAGGAUGAUCAGCCACACUGGGACUGAGACACGGCCCAGACUCCUACGGGAGGCAGCAGUGGGGAAUAUUGGACAAUGGGGGCAACCCUGAUCCAGCCAUGCCGCGUGAGUGAUGACGGCCUUAGGGUUGUAAAGCUCUUUUCUCCGGGACGAUGAUGACGGUACCGGAGGAAUAAGCCCCGGCUAACUUCGUGCCAGCAGCCGCCGUAA
rnacentral:rRNA from 1 species